GGAGCCACCCCACUGAGGGCAGGCGUGUCAGGGCUGCACACAGGUGCCGUUCACGGGUCGGAGCCCGCAAGGCAGCCCGUGGGUUUCCGGUUCCGGGAGUAGCCAACGGCCGCGGAGGCCACAACUAGUGCUAAGGAGGAGGCUGCGGUGGAAGAGGAAGGAGGAGAAGAGUGGAGCAGGCGGGACGCGCGCGGGCGGGAUCCUCCCCAUGGGUCCCCGGGCCUAGAGCGCCGCAGGCUGCGGGCCUCGUGUCAAGCUGGCUUCUGUUCUUUUCCUGAAGCAUCUAUGGCUGAGGACUGGCAAGACUGCCCAGCCCUGGGCCCUGGCUGGAAGCGACGUGAGGCCUUUCGAAAGUCAGGGGCCUCUUGUGGACGCUCAGACAUCUAUUAUCAGAGCCCCACAGGAGAGAAGAUUCGAAGCAAAGUUGAGCUGACUCGAUACCUGGGCCCUGCAUGUGACCUCACCCUCUUCAACUUCAGACAAGGCAUCUUGUGCUACCCGGUUCCCAAGACCCAUCCCUUGCCUGCCCCCAACAAGAAGAAAAAGAAGCCUUCUAAACCAGCCAAGGCUAAGAAACGUCAGGUUGGGCCCCAGAAGAGUGAGGUCAGGAAGGAGACUCCACGGAAGGGCCGUAAGGCUGGCGCUGGCGCUGCUGCUGGCUCUGGCGCUGCCGCGGGCGCAGCUCCAGCCUCGUUACCUGCACUUGGGUGCUGUGAGAAUUGUGGGAUCCGCCUCUCACGGGAUUGUAUCAAAAGGCAGAGGUUGAAGGCGUUGUGCAAAGACUGCCGAGCACAGAGAAUUGCCUUCAACCGAGAACAGAGAAUGUUUAGGAGAGUCGGCUGUGGAGAGUGUACGGCUUGCCUUGUAAAAGAAGACUGUGGGGCUUGCUCCAUCUGCCGCCUGCAGCUGCCCCAUGACGUGGCCUCGGAGCUCUUCUGCAAGUGUGAGCGAAGACGCUGCCUCCGGAUUGUGGAGAAGAGCCGAGGGUGUGGAGUGUGCCGGGGUUGUCAGACCCAAGAGGACUGUGGCCGUUGCCGAGUCUGCCUUCGCCCAGCCCGCCCUGGUCUCAAGCGCCAGUGGAGGUGUUUGCAGCGGCGCUGCUUUUGGCACUUUGCCCAUCGCUUCCGUGGUCACCCUCAAGGAUGUCACCAGUGCCCUCCUCAGGUUGUGGUUUCCCCUACUGAUAAGCGUGACCGUCGAAAGAGUGGCUCGAAGGUGGCUGCCCGACGUCACUCCCGAGCCCAGCCCCUGCCUCCACGUCCUGCAUCCCAGCACCCAGAGCCCACAGAGCUGCACAUCAGCGACCUAGCGCCCACAUCACCUGCUGAGUUCAUCUAUUACUGUGUAGACGAGGACGAGCUACAGCCCUACACGAACCACCACCGGCAGAACCGCAAGUGCGGGGCCUGUGCAGCCUGCCUACGGCGGAUGGACUGCGGCCAUUGCGACUUCUGCUGCGACAAGCCCAAAUUCGGGGGCAGCAACCAGAAGCGCCAGAAGUGUCGUUGGCGCCAGUGCCUGCAGUUUGCCAUGAAGCGGCUGCUGCCCAGUACCGGGCCAGGGUCUGAGGAGGGAGCAGGACUGCCUCCAUGUCGCCCUUGUCGAAAGAGGCCUGGUUCUCCUCGACGACGACUCCGUCUGAGCUCUCCCUCAAAGGCCCCUUUGGCUGUGCUCACCACCCCACCAGGCCCUGCCCGGGCUUCAGCAAAGCAGCAAGCAGGUAGAGGCUUUGUGCUGCCCCCACCUGACACAGACUUUGUGUUUUUACAAGAGGGUGCCGCCAGUCCUGUGCAGGUGCCUGGCCCUGCCGCAGCUUCAUCGGAAGCCCCGUUACAGGAGGCCCAGAGUUGGGGUGUAGCCAUGCCCCAGGUGAAGCAGGAGAAGACGGACGCCCCCGAGGAGUGGACAUCAGGCACAGGCUUCCCGACCUCUGCACUGCAGCCUGGCUACCCUAGCAAGGCACUAGACUCAGACCUUCCACCCGUGAAACAAGAGCCCCCUGGCCCUGCAGAGGAUAGAGAAGAAAACAGAGAAGAUUAUGUCUCUGAAUCAGCCCCGGAGGAGGAGGCAGGAGGGGUUGGCACACCAGUGAUCACGGAGAUUUUCAGCCUGGGUGGAACCCGUCUCCGGGAUGCAGCAGCCUGGUUGCCAAGGUCCAAGGACCUUAAAAAUCCUGAAGCUAAAAUGCAGUAGACUGGAGGCCUCUGCUGACUGUAGGCCUGAAGGUGAUAUUUGCAGAUCGGCUUUAUGAGAAUCAACCCUGAUCUACCAGGGGCUGGGCCAUGGUUUGGUUGCAGAGCUUGUUUGUGAAUGAACCCUAGGAGAAAAUCCUGCAAGCACAAUCGAGGAACAGGCCUGCCCGGUCCUGGAAGCUUAGCGGAAGCCAGCUGGAGAGGAAGAGAAAGAGUAGAAGGCUGGGAGAACGUCUGCUCCUCCAAGGAUCUCGAGGCGAUGAGAAGUUGGAUGUAGGGUAGGGAGGGAUAUAACUGAAGCCCCGACAAACAACUCAAACAAGCCAUCUUCAUAACUGUUUGUUGGUGGCUUCUGGAUGAGACCUGGCAGUGUGUCUGAACAUUUUCUCAGGGAACCAGCAGUUGAAAUGCUACAGAAUAAAGGAGGAAAAGGCAUUGUUUGGUUAGCUCCUCCUGUGGAGCCACUUCCUAAACCCUCACAGGAGUCCUUAGGAAGACAGUGAGUGACAUUGUGCACUUUUGCAGGCGGGGAAACAGACCCAGAAGAGGUGAAUGUUCCCAGUGUCAAACAGCUGGUAUUGGUAGUCUAGAAAUACAUCAGGCUAUAACAGCUUUAUUCUUUAAUCCACUAAACUGCUAACUGCAAUCUUUUGUGCAAUAAUGUAUAUUACAGUAACAGUUUUAGUAACUUUGAAAAUAGCAGUGGAUCACUAUGAAUGCUAAGAUAUCCUUUACACUUUUGCCUCCAUUGUGGUUUAGGGAUUCCCAGACUGUGGGUGGAUGGGGUCACCUUCUGGACAGAGCAUUGGUUCAUUUGGAAUCCAGAUUCCCUGAAGGCCCUGGAUGCUGCAUAGGACCCCUGACUCCCGAAAGUGUGUUCUUUCCCACUGCUGGCUGACAGUUUACUUGAGCCCAGAUGGUCUCCCUUUGGCCGGAGCAGUGCUUGGAACUAAAGCUGUCAGCCUGGCCCAUCUUUUCCUGGCAGCAUCUUUUCUCUGAUGUCUUUUGUACUUGUUUCCUGCCCUCAGCCCAAAUGUUUGUUAGGAGGCUGAAUGAAUUUAUGCACUGAGUCCUGCCCAAGGGCUGGACUUGGCUCAGCCUUACCUCAUUUUCUAUCCUUAAAAUGCCAAAAAGAUAUAUAAUUGGUUGCUUAGCCAGCUUUACAGGGCUAGGACUGAGUGCCUCGUCAUCCUUUGUGUCCUGUGUGCCCCCUUUGCUUUAGCCUCGCCCCGCCCUGCUGCUCUAGGUAAUUCAGAUGGGGAUUACUCAUCUCUUAUUUCCACCUCACGAGGCACAGCUCUCUGCCACCCUCUACUCUUGCUUUGUCUACUUCUGUCCUGGAAUCAUUGCUCUUUAACCCCCAGAGCACACCACUUGUCCCUAGUAUUCUAGUAAUUCUGACAGCGACGUUCUAAGAGUAAUGCCUUUGGUUGGCAUUUGACUUGUGAAUGAAGAUUCUGAUUACUAUGUAUUGACUAGGGUACAAUCGAAAGAUCAGAACCACUACAACAAAGAAUAGUGUAUGUGUUGUAAGGGAAUUUUGGGAGACAUUUUACAUUAUAUAAUUUUGGGAGAUGGUUUAAUAGCCUCUAAGGCUGUCAUUUGUAUGUAGUGCUGGAACUUAAAAGUAUUCAGGACAGUCAGUCAGAAAGGGAAGGUGGAUGGACAAAUGGGAGCCCAUGAACAAGAGUUGGAAUUCAAGAAGAUGGCCUGGAACCCAUGUCAGUGUCUCAUCGUCUCCAGCUUCGAUGAUGUCUGUGUCCUGCAGAAGCUAGUGUCCUUCCUCAGAGUGAAGUAGCAUCUGACCUAGGACUAGAGAAGCUGAAGGAAGAUCCCAGGGAAGUUGUAGCAGCUGAAGGCCUGCCUGUAGGACUUGCUGUUUCCCCACACCAAGGUGAGACAGCAGAUUAAUGACCACUUGUAUGAACUGCAACAUGCCUGGUAUCCCUGCAACAACUUUCCAACAGCCUGCUGCUGCUGCUUCACUUCUGCUAACCACAAUGUUUCUGGAUUUUCUUAACUAGAAGUCUGUGGGGAAGGAUUCUGGGAAGCAUAGUCUAGUCAAGGUGACAUGUUAGAAAGCCACCCUGCCAUGAUGCAGCUCCCAAAGGUCUCAGCAAUCACCUGAGGAUAACUGACAGAAGUACAUUGGGGGAAUCGUAAAGACCAUGGAUUCAUGAUGGUCCCAGCAAGCAAAGAAAUCAUGUCAAGCUCAUCCAUAACAGUCUUGCUGGUCUCAGCUGUAUAUGUGUUACUCAUCCAAGUAUUGAAAACUUGGCCCAUAGUUAUCACUGUACAUGAUACUGAGGUCUAGAAAUGCAAUUUUAUAAAAUGCAUCAGUAUAUAUUACAAGUGAUACACAGAUCUCCAGUUUAUUAUGGACAUUGAUGCUCAAAAUAUAGAAUCUAGUAUACUAUGGAGAAGCCAGUCCUUGUUUGAGUUUUUUGAGAUGCUCCAGAAGUUGGAAACAACUUAAUCAUUUCUAUUUCUAAGCUGUUCUAUUUUAAAAUUAUUUUAAAAUAAUUUUCUUGUUCUACUUAUUGGUUUUUAUGUUAGUUUUUCUUUGAGGAAUGUUUGGUGGUGGUAACAGUGUUGACUGCUGUGGAAAAUUUGGGAUAGUGGGUGGCAAGAUGAAGGUCAGUUCUGUCAUUUCCCUAGGCUUCAGAUUGCCGUAGCUGCAGGCUAAGGCACUGUGCUCCUCAUCCACCUUGCAGUGUACAAGUCUCCUCCAGGCCUGGACUGGCUGAGAAGACCAUUGGGUAGAUUCUAAAGCUGGUACCAGGCACCCUGGGGCAGAGUCUGCAAGCAGUCCCUCCUGUGGUACAGAGAAGCCGGUUCCACUCUUCAGAGGAUGGUGGAACAGCCUGAGAGUUUCCUCACUAGGCUCAUCACCUGACGGCUCUGUGGCUACAUAAACUGUUAGCAGUAAAUGAAAAUGAGUAUUUUACUGAACUGCAGUUGAAAGAAGAAAUAUUGUAGGAGAGAAAAAACAAUUAUUAUUAAGAGAAGAAAGACAUUCUUUUGUGGCUGAAAAGCUGAACCCGGAAUUCAGGAAAUGGAAUCCAAAUCUAGAGAUGUACCGUGUAGAAAACCUGAAGUGGUUGGGUUACAAAUCAUUAAGCAUGCUAAUUUUGAAGAAAACCGACCUUAAGAGGGCACACACAUGAGUUGCACUCAGACUAUUAGUAUCUGUCAGUGACUGACCUUGUUACUGACCCACCCUCGUCUACUUUUCUGUUCUUAUCCCCCCCCACUUAAGAGCAGGGGUACCAAAGCAGCAUUCAUAACUGGCUCUUCGACAUUAUAACUCCAUCUUACUGUUGAUGGGAGGUCCCCACGAGUGCUGGGGGACAAUCUAGUUCCCUGGACUAUGUUGCCAGUUUUGCCUGAGUUUCUGGCUCAAGAAUUGAGUAGCUGAACUUGUGAUCUGCAAGUGCUGGUCCACUCUGAUUCCUCCGUUCAGACUAUCGUGUUCAGCCCAGUAAGACUACUGCCCCACCAGUGCGUCUGACCUGCCUGCUUCCUGUGUUCACCCAAGUGUAAGCCCCAUUCUCCGUUCGGUGCAGUGGGAAGAUUCUCUUCACAGCUAUUACUGGUUGUGUGGCUCUAUAUAGCACUUAAAGCUCUUUGAGCCUUAAUCGAUUUCAUUAUAAAAUAAAGCUAAUGAUACUUUCAGUUCCUUCAACUCUGUAAGAUUGUUGUCAACCUCAAAGGUUGUUUCUGGAAAUAUUUUGCAAAUUGUAAAAAAAAAAAUCAAGCAUAA